UGUCUGUAGUCUCAGCUACUCGGGAGGCUGAGGCUGGAGGAUCGCUUGAGUCCAGGAGUUCUGGGCUGUAGUGCGCUAUGCCGAUCGGGUGUCCGCACUAAGUUCGGCAUCAAUAUGGUGACCUCCCGGGAGCGGGGGACCACCAGGUUGCCUAAGGAGGGGUGAACCGGCCCAGGUCGGAAACGGAGCAGGUCAAAACUCCCGUGCUGAUCAGUAGUGGGAUCGCGCCUGUGAAUAGCCACUGCACUCCAGCCUGGGCAACAUAGCGAGACCCCGUCUCU
rnacentral:SRP_RNA from 1 species